GACGAACGCUGGCGGCGUGCUUAACACAUGCAAGUCGAACGAUGAACCCGGAGCUUGCUCUGGGGGGUUAGUGGCGAAAGGGGGAGUGUCACGUGAGGAACCUGCCCUGGACUCUGGGAUAAACGUUGGAAACGACGACUAAUACCGGGCAUGACAUUGGUACGCACGAGCUGGGGGGGAAAAAUAUUUCAGUCGGGGAUGGACUCGCGGCCUAUCAGCUUGUUGGUGAGGUAAUGGCUCACCAAGGCGUCGAAGGGUAGCCGGCCUGAGAGGGUGAGCGGCCACACUGGGACUGAGACACGGCCCAGACGCCUACGGGAGGCAGCAGUGGGGAAUAGUGCACAAUGGGCGAAAGCCUGAUGCAGCAACGCCGCGUGCGGGAUGACGGCCUUCGGGUUGUAAACCGCUUUUAGUAGGGAAGAAGGGCUUCGGCUUGACGGUACCUGCAGAAAAAGGACCGGCUAACUACGUG
rnacentral:rRNA from 1 species